UACGUAGGGGGGCAAGCGUUGUCCGGAUUUACUGGGCGUAAAGCGCGCGUAGGCGGAAGGUGAAGCGUGGCCUGAAAGCCCCGGGCUCAACCUGGGAAUUGCAUUCGAGACUGUUCAGCUAGGAUGCGGAAGAGGGAAGCGGAAUUUCCGGUGUAGCGGUGAAAUGCGUAGAUAUCGGAAGGAACACCAGUGGCGAAAGCGGCUUCCUGGUCCAGCAUCGACGUUCAGGCACGAAAGCGUGGGGAGCAAACAGG
rnacentral:rRNA from 1 species